rnacentral:rRNA from 1 species
GGAGGGUGCAAGCGUUGUUCGGAAUUACUGGGCGUAAAGGGCGUGUAGGCGGACCAAGUAGUCGGGUGUGAAAGCCCUGGGCUCAACCCAGGAAGUGCGCCCGAAACCAUUGGUCUAGAGAUUCGGAGGGGAGCGGGGAAUUCCCAGUGUAGAGGUGAAAUUCGUAGAUAUUGGGAGGAACACCGGUGCCGAAGGGGCCGCUCUGGACGAAUACUGACGCUGAGACGCGAAAGCGUGGGUAGCAAACAGGAUUAGAUACCCUGGUAGUCCACGCUGUAAACGAUGUGCACUAGGUGUCGGGGGUAUUGACCCCCCUCCCGGUGCCGCCGCUAACGCAUUAAGUGCACCGCCUGGGAAGUACGGUCGCAAGGCUG